CGUGGCCUAGAACUGCCAUAGCCAAACAAAAUAUACAUGGAUGGCCUAGAGCUGCCAUAGACCAUGAUGCUUUUCUGGCUGCGUGCAUCCAAGAUGGCGGACAGGUCACGAGAAGAAAGGAAGUCGAAAUUUCAAGUGUUUUUGUAAACUUGAUGACAUUAAGUGAUUGAAAUGACACAACUACGUUGACAUCUACUGCAGAUAGGUACCGGAGUACAGAUGACGUAUUCAAUUCAGAAAGGCCGGCCCGUGGCAUUUGCAACUAUAUCGAACAUUUUGUCCCACAGCAUUAAGUAUAGUUUUCUAUAAUCUAGAGUAAGCAAAAAGUGUUCAAGUGAUGCUUGAUUUGUGUGAGACUUCGGAAGGGUGAUAUAUUUUAAGACGAUAAAACGUUAGUCUAGUUUAAUUCCAUUUUUUCUUCCACUACAUAGAUUUAGACUUUCAAACACUUUUAAGUGUUUAAAAUCACUUUUGUCAACUUAAUGUGUGCUACUGUCAACAACAACAAAAUGUUUUAACCUUUGUCAAGUUGUUACGUACCAAAAAAUAAGGCUAAUAUUGAAUAUGUUAAAACUUGAACUUGAACUUAAAACUUAAACAAGAUCAAAUCAUGUGAAUAAAUGCAUUGGUAAUGCUA